rnacentral:rRNA from 1 species
AUUGAACGCUGGCGGCAGGCCUAACACAUGCAAGUCGAACGAGUGGCGGACGGGUGAGUAAUGUCUGGGAAACUGCCUGAUGGAGGGGGAUAACUUCUGGAAACGGUAGCUAAUACCGCAUACCAUAAGAUGUGCCCAGAUGGGAUUAGCUAGUUGGUGGGGUGACGGGUCACCAAGGCGACGAUCACUAGCUGGUUUGAGAGGAUGACCAGCCAAACUGGAACUGAGGCACGGACAUAACUCCCACGGGAGUCAGCAGUGGGGCAUAUUGCACAAGGGGAGCAAGCCUGAAGCAGCCAUGCCGCGAGGAUGAGGAAGGCCUUAGGGUUGUAAAGUAGUUUCAGCGGGGAGGCGUUACCCGCAGAAGAAGCGCCGGCUAACUCCGUGCCAGCCGCCGCGGUAAUAC